AUUUAAGGGUUGGCAGUGGAGGUGAGAGUAUUUCUCUGGAGAUUCCUGCCUACUGGAGGCCUUCUGAAGGCCACUUCUUGUCCCAGAGAUGACUUCGAAGCCAUUUGCAAUCACUCUUUCCACUGCUUGCUGAUUUUUUACAGGACAGUGCUGUAAGAAUUUUAAGCACGUUUGACAGACACGAUGUGAAUCCUGGCUGCCUCUCCUUCCCCAGACUGUAUAUUUCUGUGUUGCAUAAUCCUGUCCCACAUUAACGUCUCCAAUAUCCGUUCUGUGGCUGCAGUUAGGAUUAUUGGAUUCCCAAGGAAGGAAAUACUUGGAAUAUUGUUUAUGAAGGAAUGACAUCAUUGGAGUCUUCUGCGUGGUAGACAAGGUAUCCAUGGCUUCCUGACCACCCACCCCUGCCUCAUGGCCAGAGAGAUGCGGGAGGUCCCAGUUGCCUUCUACUACUCAGCUCAACACUGAGGUUCCAGAAAAAGCCAGCACCUGUGCUCCCUGAGCAGGUAAGCGACUCCAGCCAUUACACUUGCCAGCCCCCUGGGAGGCUGACAAAUGAAGCUGUGCUCCUGAGUCCUGAACAUAUAAUUUGCCACACGCAAUUUGUGUCGCAUCAUGCCUAGCUGGAGCUCUACUUUCUGGACUACCCAAAAUAUAUCUACAAAUAGAUCGUGUCAUGUCAAAAACGAAAUGGAAGUUGAUAGUAAUUGUGGACUGUAUAAUUAGAAAGCAGGAAUCAGAAUGUCUCACUAAUGGGAACACCUGGAAUACCUGCACAAAAUGCUGAUCAAAAGUCAUCUUGGAAUCCGGGGAACCCUAUACACAACUGUUUCUGCCUCUUUAAAAAGCUGUUUAAAUAUGGCAAAUUACUCUUUGAUCACACUUCUGCUGGGGUAAACAGCAUAGAAAUCAAGCAUAGGACAGUAAUCUGACUCUUUUUGAGGAGGUCACGUCCGUGAGACUUAAAGGGUACAAAGUUGCACACAGUAGGUUUUUCUAAAUUUAGACACCUUUCUAUAAAGUCAUGGUGUAUCUAGGCCUAAUAACAGUUGCUUGAUGUUGUGGAGCUAAAAGUCUUCAGAAGUAUAGGGGAGGAGGAGAAGGAAGCAGCAGCUUUAGGGCCAUGUAAAAACAAAGCCUUUCUUUUCUCCUUUUAAAUCUCUCUGCUGUGCCCUGAUUGAACAUAGGAUGAAAAGCCACUGUCUUGAGAUUUGAGGAAAACAAAGGAUUUCUGUUUUUACUAUUACACUGAAAAGCUCUUUACUGUAUGAAAGGUUGUCUCUUCGAAACUUCCUCAGAUUUGUGACCCAGGGUUUUGGGGAGUGCAACUGCCCAGCUUCUACCACAGAAAUCAAGGAUGUACUAUCUUAGAGUAGUCCAUGUGGGCAAGAACAUUAGCUUUCUGAUCUUUAUAUCAAUUUUACACUGUAUUUUGGGUGAAGUAUUUUAAGAAUGAAAUUUUUGGCUUUCAAAGGUGAUGGAAGGGGUGGUAUGCUUUGACCCAAACUAUCUGCUGUUAUGCGCUAAGAAUGAUAGCGAAUGGGCUGAAGUAUUGUACUGAGGAUGGCAGUCAC
ensembl:lncRNA